GCCAUAUCUAAUAUAUUCAUUACUCUAUUCUGGUGACAAGAGUAUUAAGUCAUACCUAAGUGGAAUAACUCUUUAUCGGAAGAAUCGACCACGAGACAUUACAUGAAAGAAAAAAGAAUACUGAAGAAAUUAGGCAACUGAACUGAACCCUAGGCCUCGAAUGACAGAAUCGUUAAGACUCGAGAGCCAGGCGAGAAGAAUCGUGUUGAUGUCCUUUCUUAAGAGUCUGCAGCCACUUGUCACUUGCAUUGGUAUACGUAGGUCGUGGAUAUAUAUGUGACCAUUAAACUGUGAAAUAGUAGUAACCGAUUGCAGCCCAAGAUCAAGAUAGAUUAGGUAUAAUGUGUUCUGAUUUAAACCUUGAGUUUAUUUAGAUUUCUCUUACAAGAAGCCUACCCUAAGCAACACCUGCUACUAUGAACCGCAUUACCAGAAGUUUGGUACAACCGUAUCAGGAGUCAACUUAGAACAUCCGAACCCAGUAAUUGGUGUAACCGGAAUAGGUUUAGAUUGGCACUUACUGAUCGCACAGCAUGAUUAAGGGAAGGUCCCAAACCAUGAUGCAGUUAGGGAAUAUGCUUCCGGGACUCGUCAAGCGUAACGCAGUCUUGCAGGUUUUAGUGAAUUUCUUUGUAAACUCAGCAAUUGAACCAUAAAAUUCUGUUUCUCUUGACUACAAAUGUAUCAGAGUUAAAUCUUCAUUAUAUUUAAUUCAAGCCAUACAAAUGGCGGCACAUUUGAAAUGAUGGUGACAGUAGUAACAGAAAAUGUCAGAAACUACUUCCACACGACUAAACAGUCUCCUGUGAGGGAACGUCUUCUUGUCCUCUGUUGCAAGAUGUAGACAGGGAUACAAAAUUACGAAAUAAUAGAAGUUUUAUGGUAUAUUCCUUUGCCGACGACGUUCACGUAUCACCAUAGAAAGAAAUUGAAUGAGUAAUUUGUUUAGAAAAAAUUAUUUUAGAGGCAUUCAUAAUGUUAAGUGUCUAUAUA